rnacentral:ncRNA from 1 species
GAUACAGCUAUGAUUAGGAUAAGUAGUGGAUUUGCUUUCUUUCAGAGAGAGAGGUAGUAGGUGUGAGCCUCUUAGAAUGUACCCAUGAAUACCACCUAUGAGCUUUUUCCGAAAUAAGGAGAACGUGAAGGCACGUUAUAGCCUACAAGAGUUACUUGAGAAAUCAAGUUAAUUUGGGUGGAACCGCGAUAAUUAAUCGCCCCAUUA